CUCGUAGGCGGCCUGUUGCGUCCGCUGUGAAAGCCCGGGGCUUAACCCCGGGUCUGCAGUGGAUACGGGCAGGCUAGAGGUAGGUAGGGGAGAAUGGAAUUCCCGGUGUAGCGGUGAAAUGCGCAGAUAUCGGGAGGAACACCGGUGGCGAAGGCGGUUCUCUGGGCCUUACCUGACGCUGAGGAGCGAAAGCGUGGGGAGCGAACA
rnacentral:rRNA from 1 species